AGCAGCCGCGGUAAUUCCAGCUCCAAUAGCGUAUAUUAAAGUUGUUGCAGUUAAAAAGCUCGUAGUUAAAUUUCGGGGUCAGUAGGUUGGUCGUGCCACUGGUAUGUAUUGGUCUCACUGAUUCCUCCUUCCUGAUGAGCCGUAAUGCCAUUAAUUUGGUGUUGCAGGGAAACUGGACUGUUACUUUGAAAAAUUAGAGUGUUUAAAGCAAGCUAACGCUUGAAUACAUUAGCAUGGAAUAAUGAAAUAGGACGAUCGAUCCUAUUUUGUUGGUUUCUAGGAUUGACGUAAUGAUUAAUAGGGAUAGUUGGGGGCAUAAGUAUUCAAUUGUCAGAGGUGAAAUUCUUGGAUUUAUUGAAGACUAACUACUGCGAAAGCAUUUGCCAAGGAUGUUUUCAUUAAUCAAGAACGAAAGUUAGGGGAUCGAAGACGAUCAGAUACCGUCGUAGU
rnacentral:rRNA from 1 species